UGGAUGUAAAAAGUCGUAACAAGGUCUCCGUUGGUGAACCAGCGGAGGGAUCAUUACCGAGUUUACAACUCCCAAACCCAAUGUGAACGUUACCAAACUGUUGCCUCGGCGGGAUCUCUGCCCCGGGUGCGUCGCAGCCCCGGACCAAGGCGCCCGCCGGAGGACCAACCAAAACUCUUAUUGUAUACCCCCUCGCGGGUUUUUUACUAUCUGAGCCAUCUCGGCGCCCCUCGUGGGCGUUUCGAAAAUGAAUCAAAACUUUCAACAACGGAUCUCUUGGUUCUGGCAUCGAUGAAGAACGCAGCGAAAUGCGAUAAGUAAUGUGAAUUGCAGAAUUCAGUGAAUCAUCGAAUCUUUGAACGCACAUUGCGCCCGCCAGUAUUCUGGCGGGCAUGCCUGUCCGAGCGUCAUUUCAACCCUCGAACCCCUCCGGGGGGUCGGCGUUGGGGAUCGGCCCUUUACGGGGCCGGCCCCGAAAUACAGUGGCGGUCUCGCCGCAGCCUCUCCUGCGCAGUAGUUUGCACACUCGCAUCGGGAGCGCGGCGCGUCCACAGCCGUUAAACACCCCAAACUUCUGAAAUGUGACCUCGAUCUG
rnacentral:rRNA from 1 species